rnacentral:lncRNA from 1 species
GAAAGUGGAUGUAAGACUAGUUAUGCACUAUGUCUUGUUUAGAUUAUCUGAAUAUUGGCCAUUUUAUAUGCCUGUGGAAUUUGGCAAUUAGACAAGUGAAUAAAAUAGAUUUUUAAAAUGGAAAGGAGGAGGUAAAAUUAAAAUAAUUUUCAGGUGGUACAAUUGUAUUUUGGGAAAACCCUUAAUGAGUAAUGACCAGUAUAUUGACGUUGAUGGUCUCCAGCUGGAAUGGAUUGGGAACUGGAAAAGUCAGAAGUCAGGGACAAGAAGAGGCUAACAUGACUGGUACCAGUAUAAUUUAGUGAAUCACCCCAUUUCUAAAGAGGAGCCCAGAGGAAGACUGGUCAUCUCUUGCAGAUCUCAAAACCAUGGCUCAGUUGGCUCAGGUG